UGGGAAACACUUGCCCUUGGCCAGCUGGA
rnacentral:piRNA from 1 species